GAUCCUGGCUCAGAUUGAACGCUGGCGGCAUGCCUUACACAUGCAAGUCGAACGGUAACAGGUCUUCGGACGCUGACGAGUGGCGAACGGGUGAGUAAUACAUCGGAACGUGCCCAGUCGUGGGGGAUAACUACUCGAAAGAGUAGCUAAUACCGCAUACGAUCUGAGGAUGAAAGCGGGGGUACCUUCGGGCCUCGCGCGAUUGGAGCGGCCGAUGGCAGAUUAGGUAGUUGGUGGGAUAAAACG
rnacentral:rRNA from 1 species